CCCGGGGAGCAGCGUGUUGGUGCUGGAGGAGGGGGCUCAUCGGAGGGAGACGGUGCUUGAAAUCAUCCAGGGGAAGCGGGUGCCCAUCUCCCUCUGGAUCCUGGUGGGGAGCAUCCUGGGGGGGCUGCUCCUCCUGGCCCUCAUCAUCUUCUGCCUGUGGAAGCUGGGCUUCUUCACCCGCAAGAAGCCCCCCGAGGAAGAGGAGGAGGAGGAGAAGAAGGACGAGCAGUGAAGGCAGGAGGUGGCCCCUCGAACCGGCGCCGCGGGGGGGGG
rnacentral:lncRNA from 1 species